CUUAUGAUGAUGCAGUAGAAGACUGGAAGGUUUAUGGGAAGUGACUUCAGCAACACAUUAUCGCUUUUGGUGUCAGUGAGCAAACAUGGAUGAGGCUCUGUUCCUUUCUCAAAUUUCUCCUUGGAUGUGUUCCUAUGUUUAAAAUUUUGUUUGGGCAGUUACAACAUGUGAACUUGCUUUUGACUUUCAAUUAGAUAAGAAGCUUAUUAACUUUUUUGACACUUUUAUGUGAUAAUGCAGCGUGCUAAACUCAUUCCAAACUGAUAUGUAUUUUGAGCAUUUUUAAUUGCACUCCCUUUUCCUUCCAUAGAGCUGUCUGAAAAAAUAAUUGAUAAGAAUUUAGGAAAUACUCGGUUGUUACAAUUAAAGUGUAGCUAGUCACAGAGGUCUAGUGUGGACUCUAAUCAUCAUAUGGCAGCAAAACUUCAUAGAUAUUCUAACAUGUUAAUGUGGAAGAGGUUUACACAGGAGGGGAGUUUCAGUUUUGGCCACCAGGUGAAAAUGUGAGGCUGUGAAUGCAAGAAAGAUAGGAAUGGGACAUGUGCAGAAAAGGAAAAACUAAUUAGAAAGGCAUAAUAUUGAUUUUAUUAUUAUUUGCUACUUAUGCAAUUUGUUCAUUAUGAGCAUCGGAGACAUUGACAAGAUGCUGUGCAGUGCCAGAUUUGCUCCUAGUUGCCAAUAUUGAAAUAAUUUUUUUCCCAGUGUAAAUGAGCUCUGCAUUAAUGCAUUAGCAUAUCUACUAAGUUUCGCUACAAUGUGAUAACUGCCCACAUUGGAUCUCUGGGAGUAGCUGCACUUUAAUUACAACCACCUUAUAGACGUAAUGGAACAAAAAAUUGAAACUAGGUACGUAAUCAGAAAUGUGACUGGAACAAGCUGGUAAACACAAGCAGGCACUUUAUGUGCACCAGCCUAAUCAGUUUUGUAUCGUUUUGCCAAAUACUACACUUCUGCUGGAUGCGAAAAAGUCAUGCCAACAAGCUUCAUCUCAAGUUAAGUGAUACAAUGAGAAUUAUCACUGUCAUGCUAAAACCCCUUACUUUGUCUGUUAUCUAAUAUAGCGUCAGCAGAUUUCAGACAACAAUCAGUAGAGGACCAAGAAUAGAAUAAUAAAUUCAAAAGGGUAGUUCUUGAACAUUCUCUGAUUCAAAAAACUUUCUCGUAUUCUACAUACCAGGCUUAAAUCCAAGAAGUCCUAUGUAGUAUCUUAACAGCAUACCUGCUUUGUGUCCUUUAGAAGACCACUGAGGAGCUAAAUGGACAGCCGGCCACUGUGGACGAGCGGUUCUAUGCACUUCAGUCCAGAACCACGUGGCUGCUAUGGUCGCAGGUUUGAAUCCUGCCUUGGGCACGGAUGUGUGUGAUGUCCUUAGAGAGAAGCGGUGGGCACUGAAAGAAGGCUGGUGAAAAAGUGAGACUUAAGUGGAGAAGACAGUUAUAUAUCACUAAUAAAGAUUGCUGCCAAGUUGGAAGUGUAUCAUGUGUCUCCACAAAGAAACGUAAAUUUCAGUAGUAAAAGAAAACGUGUGCAAGUUGUAAGAAUGAAAUACUGAAGCUGAACGAAAGGAUGUCCAGUCUACAGUUUACAAUCGUCAAAAGCUGGAAAUAAGUAAACUACAAUCUGAAAAACAUGAGACGUUAAUGAAGAAAGAAGACUCGGUCUCUGGAAAAUGGAAGCUAAUGACUAAUGGAAGUUGUACUCAGAAAGUAAAAGCUCUGAAAGACAGUGAAAAUUUAGUGCAAAAAAACUCAUCUGAAGUGCUUUCUGCUGUGGAUUCAGUGAACAUGUCGGAAAGCAUUGAAAAGUUGGAAAACAAAGCGGGCAAUCUGUUGCUCAUUGUAAGUAGGUCAAACAGUGAAAAUACUGUGUCAGGAGAUAUUCUAAAAACUCCAAAAAUAAAUGCACACACCUAAGUUACACUACCACAGACUUCAAUGCAACAAAAGAAACUACGUGAAAAAACAUAUCUCCAGCGAAACUGCAAGCUGAAGAACAUUUAGAAUACGUGCGGUGAAAAAACAACACUAGCCAGGUGAGAAGAACCACCUUAAAUCCUCUGGUGAAACACAAAACAAUCUGUGUGUUAGGUGAUAGUCACGGCCGUGAAAUUUCUGCAAUGUUGAUGAGAACAUGUAGUUUCAAGGCAUCUGGUUUCAUAAAGCCAUGGGCUCCAUUGAGUGAAAUAACAGACCUAACAUCAACUGAUGUAGCUGGUUUGAAUAAAGACGAUUUCACCACAUUAAUAGGAGGAUCAAAAGAAGUCUGCAGAAACGAGACAUACAAGGUUAUUACAGAAAUGAGGAAAUGUUUAAGGGGACCACACCCUGCCUAUCUAACCCAUGUUAAUUUAGGCACGUAUUUGACCCAUUUCUGUAAAAAUACUAUUUGAUGCAGGACCUUAAUAUUUUACUGUAUGUUACAUGAUGCUAAUAGAGUCAACUGUACUAAAAUCUACUUUAUCCAUUUUAUAGUUUUUAAGAAAUACUUUUCUAAAUUUAUUAACAAAAAAUAUUGUUUUUUCUGCAGAAAAUAUUUUUUGUGAACUUCCUAAUGGGGGAAUAUUAAUGAAUGUAAUACCAGAGGUGGCUUUUUAUGUUACGCAGAGUCUCUGAAAAUUUCAUUCAUUUAUCUACGAUAGUUUCUGAUACAAUGGGGCGUAUGUACUGAAAAUUUUAGUUUGCGAGAAAUUGACUUUAAAGAAAAAACUUUUGAAAUUUGUUACUUACAGUUAAUUAAAACUGUCCUGCUGCAUAUGAUGGCCCUUCUUUGGCCUCUAGCAGGUCUUCCAGCUUCUUUUCCACCUUCCUGGAUGUUUGUCUUGUUUUCUUGGCCAUAUUAGAGGCAGACCUGUCUGCAUCGACUAUCCUCAUUUUAUCGCAAUGUUGCAGCCCAGUGAUCAUAUUUUCACCAGGAUUAAUUUCCAGCUUUUUCAGUACCCAACACUUUCCAAUAUUACCACAAUUGAAUGUAAUAACAGCAUCAUGAACUCCUAGUGUCAUUGUAUGCAUGCCUACAAAUACAGUUUUAGGAAGGCGGUUCCAAAUUAUGCUGUUGAAACAUUCAUUUGGGUUCUGUGUCUGCCCAUGCAGACAUUUCUUUAGAAGGUCAGGAUGGGCCAAGUCUCUGAAAAUAGGUUUAAUUGCUGUAAUAACAGCAGCAGGAAGAGAAUGCUGGUGAGAAUAAGAUUCUCUAGUUGCUUGAGCACUAUUGUAUUUGCACCAUGAAUUUUCUCCUGAUGGACACAAUCCAUGACAUGGCUUAUCAUCAAUAGAGGACUUAUGGAUGAAAUGGCCCAAACAUCUCUCUUCAUUACCUCCAGAUGUUCUUUAUUUCUCCUAAUUGCCUGCCCAUAGUAUACCUGAAAGUUUUCUAUAACAACUACUCGAAAUCGCACUUGAACAAAACUAAUCACGUGUUUGAAAGCAUGUUGUUUACAAACAGCAGAAACAAAAGAAUACCGAUGUUUGCAUCAUUCCAAGGAUAGCCAACACACUUGGGAGUAAAAAAAAAACCCUAACGUGCAAUGUAGGGGAUAUAAAGAUCUAAAAUAUAUGCAGAAAAGUGGAUGACAGAAAAGCGGGUGUGGCACAUAAACACACAUGGUAGUAAAAUGCUCUUUAAAUGCUCUAAAAAUAUUUUUUUCAGCAAAAUCCUUUUCAGAGUACGAGAAACAAACAAUCAGGUCAUCAGUUAAAUGAAAAUUAUGAAAUAGUUUAAACAGAAGAGGACAGAUGUGGAUGAAGCAAAUCUUAUACAAGCUCCAGAAGUUAACUCACCUGCUGAUUGCCACCAUCAAACAGAAGCCACGCACAAGAAAGAUUCCAAAAAUUUUUAGGGUAAGUGCUGUAUUAGAAAUGCCAUUAGAUAAAGAAUCAGAAACUGUUUCAGCUUAAUAGUAUGAAGGCUUUACCAGAAGACAUGUUUCAGCUUAAGUUACUAAAUACCCUAAUUUUGCUAUACUACACCAUAACAUUCAGUCACUCACAAAUAAAAUUUACAUGUUGGAAACACUACUCCAGUUUGCACUAAAUGUAGACAUAAUUUGCAUUACUGAACAUUGGCUACAAAAUGACUAAGUAACAUUAACCUUAAUCUCAGGAUAUAGAUUAGCAAGCCAUUUUAGCUGAGAGUUUUCCAAACAUGGUGGCUCUGCUAUCUUUGUGAAAGAACAAAUAAAGCUCUGUGAUGUCAGUAAAAGUUAUAUUGACUCAAUUGAAAAAGACUUUGAACUUUCCAUUACUAAACUGCCAGAACUUAAUUUUCAUAGUUAUUAACAUAUAUUGAGCACCAAAUGGAAACCUGCCAGUCGUCAUGAAUAAACUAGAGGUUCUGCUGAUCAGGAUCAGUACACUAAAUAUGAAGAUAGUGCUUUGUGGGGAUUUCAGUAUUGAUUUUUCAGAAGAGAGCAGCACCAGAGAUGCUUUGAUAAAUAUGACCAACACAUUCAAUAUGAUCCCCACAAUACACUGCCCAACAAGAUUAACAGAAUGCACAAAUUCCAUUAUUGACCAAAUAUUCAUCUCAGAAACAAAUUAUAGAGUCACAAGCAGAAUACUGAGCAUGGGUUAUAGUGAUCAUGAGGCAUAGCUGCUGUGUAUAUGAGUCCGGCCAUCCUGAUAUAGGUUUUCCGUGAUUUCCCUAAAUCGCUCCAGGAAAAUGCUGGGAUGGUUCCUUUGAAAGGGCAUGGCCGACUUCCUUCCCCGUUCUUCCCUAAUCCGAUGAGACCGAUGACCUUCUGUCUGGUCUCCUCCCCCAAAAACAACCCAACAACUGCUGUGUAUAGAAAUGCCAACAAGUAGUAGCAGUUCCAAAAAAAGUAGUUUAAAAACUUACCUUUUCUGAAGGUAGCAUUAGAAUUUUUAAUCUCUGGGGAAAAUUGGGAAGGCAUCGCCACCCAGAACAAUGUUGAUAGCACAUGUACAUGAGUUUUCAGAGCAUCUUUCUUCACUAUUUUAAUGUAGCAUUUCCAAAAGUAGUAAAAACAGUAUAACCCAACAAUAAUAAGUAAUGAGUAUCUAAAGGCAUAAAAAUUUCCAGUUAGAGAAGCAGAUUUAUGCAUUACUGUUGAAAGAAAUAUAGAGUAACCCAAGAAUUUGCAGAUUAUUCAAAGGCCUACAAAAGAAUCUACGGUAGAGUAGUCAAAGAGGCAAAAAUUAUAUGGAAUGACAAUUUGAUAAGAAACUCAUCUAACAAAAUGAGAUCCACAUGGAGAGUUAUAAAGAAAGAAACUUGUAGUUCAGCACCAAAGAAAAAUUCAUUAACACUAGAAGGCUCAAAAGUCACAGACCCAAAUUCAGGUGUCGAAAAAUUCAGUGAAUACUUCUUCACUAGCUGAAGACCUCAUUCAGGUACACUUUCAAGGACUAGUCCCAAGUUUCUCCAGCAAGUCAGUGAUCUUGACGACUUCUGUGUAUGUUUAUGAAACAAACCCCAAUUAAAUUAUAAGUAAAAUUAAAUCAUUAAGCAAUAAAAUGUCAAGUGGUCUUGAUGAAGUACCUGAUUUCAUAUUAAAAGCAUGUGAUCACCACAUAGCAAACCCUUUGGCAAAAAUUUUCAACCUCUCUUUAAAAGCUGGUGUAUUUUCAGAUAUUUUUAAAAUAGCAAAAGUUUUACCACUGCUAAAAAAAGGUUCUUCUGAAAAAAUAUCAAACUAACAACCCAUGUCACAGUUAAGUUCCUUCUCAAAAAUUCUAGAAAAACUCUUCUAUGACAGACUUUUAAGUUUCAUAAAUAAAUAUGCACCUCUUACAGU